rnacentral:rRNA from 1 species
AGCGAACGCUGGCGGCAGGCUUAACACAUGCAAGUCGAGCGGGCGUAGCAAUACGUCAGCGGCAGACGGGUGAGUAACGCGUGGGAACGUACCUUUUGGUUCGGAACAACACAGGGAAACUUGUGCUAAUACCGGAUAAGCCCUUACGGGGAGAGAUUUAUCGCCGAAAGAUCGGCCCGCGUCUGAUUAGCUAGUUGGUAGGGUAAUGGCCUACCAAGGCGACGAUCAGUAGCUGGUCUGAGAGGAUGAUCAGCCACAUUGGGACUGAGACACGGCCCAAACUCCUACGGGAGGCAGCAGUGGGGAAUAUUGGACAAUGGGGGCAACCCUGAUCCAGCCAUGCUGCGUGAGUGAUGAAGGCCCUAGGGUUGUAAAGCUCUUUUGCGCGGGAAGAUAAUGACGGUACCGCAAGAAUAAGCCCCGGCUAACUUCGUGCCAGCCGCCGCGGUAA